GACGAACGCUGGCGGCAUGCCUAACACAUGCAAGUCUAGGGGUAGCAAUACCACUGGCGCACGGGUGAGUAACACGUAGGUUAUCUGCCCCCAUCACAGACAUAACCCCGGGAAACCGGGGCUAAUAUCUGAUGAGGUCGCGAGAUCAAAGCUUCGGCGGAGUGGGGAGUGAGCCUGCGGCUGAUUAGCUAGUUGGUGAGGUAAUGGCUCACCAAGGCGACGAUCAGUAGCUGGUCUGAGAGGACGAACAGCCACACUGGAACUGAGACACGGUCCAGACUCCUACGGGAGGCAGCAGUGAGGAAUAUUGGUCAAUGGGAGCAAUCCUGAACCAGCAAUGCCGCGUGUGGGAUGACAGGGCUUCGCCUUGUAAACCACUGUCGGACGGGACGAAAGGAGGCCUCGGGCCUCUGGGACGGUACCGUCGAAAGGAAGGGUCGGCUAACUACGUGCCAGCAGCCGCGGUAAU
rnacentral:rRNA from 1 species